GGGUAUUAAGUUGUUUGGGGAUAAAAAAAAUGUGAAAUUCUAGAUUUGCCCAUUCCCGAAGCACGCUAUUCGCAUUUGCGAACAAAAAUUUGCAAUUCCCAACUUUGCCUUAGGAUGCCUGGAUUCGCAAUUCCCAAGUUUUCUUCGCAUUUGCAAAGUUGAUCUGUCCUGGUUGACUUCGCAUUUGCAAAGUAUUCUUCACAAUUGCGAGAACCAUCCAAUUCCUACUGAGUUUGCAAAUGCGAACUUUUCUUCGCAUUUGCCAAGCUGUCCAAUUCAUGCUAAGUUCGCAAAUGCGAACAUUUCCUCGUAUUUGCGAAGGCUACCAUUUUCUUCUUGACUUCGCAAUUCCCAGGUUUUGGUCGCAUUUGCGACCUCAGAGUGCACUUCCUAGAUUUCCCUUUCUUUUGGCUUCUUUUUUAUUCGUUUUCACUUGGUUUCUUCGACAUCAAUUCUAAAUCAUAUAGACCUUGUAAAGUAUAAGUAAUUGACAUUAAAUACAUGAUUUUAUAACAUUAAACAUAGCAAAAGUAUAGGUUUAAAGACAAGAUAAGUCGGUAAAAUACCAACUUAUCAGCCAUACCAUCACCUCCCCUGUUAGGACAAUCCCGUAUCAUAUAGCCAGGCUGUCUGCAAGAAUAACAUGCAUCAAAACCUCGAUGGCAUAGUCUAAAGUGUGCUUUGUUGCACUUAUCAAUACGUGGUAUUGUUGGUCUCAUCUAACUAGUGUCCUUGUGAUAUUGCGAGCCUGAUGCCCGCGAACUCCUACCUGGACCAGAAUAGGUAAAUUGGUCAUAUCAAGGCCUGUAAAAUUGUGGAGGAGCACUAUCUACAUGUGUCGCCAAACUCCUCAAAGACUGGGGCCUGACGUUGCCGCUGAAGUCAUCAAAAUACCUUGCAAAUCUCGCCCUCUUAUGCUGGCCCUUACAAUCCUCUAGGGUCUGGGCAUAAGCCUUAAUACAGGAAAUAUCUAUGCCCUCCACCAAGGAGGCUAUCAUGCACUCAUUUAUCAGAUGUGGUCCCAACUCGUUCACGAACAAAUACACCCUAUCACACAUCUUAGCCACCAUAUGGGGAGAAUACCUUGCUAAAGAAUCAAACUGCAUAUUUUAUUGUCACACACUCAUACUACCUUGUCUAAGGUUCAAGAACUUACCAACUCUAGCUCAUCGUAUCUCAACUGGCAAGUAGUGACGAAGAAAGGCCUCAGAAAAUUCCUUCCACAUAGCUGGAGGAGCGUUCGGACCCCUGGAUCUCUCCCAACUAUCAUACCAGAGAACUGCUAAAUCCCAUAGCUGUUAAGAAGCCAACUCUACUGCCUCUGUAUAACUAACAUGCAUAACCCGCAGUGUACAAUAAACCUGGUCAAUAAAAUUCUACGGGUUCUCUUUGGGUUUUGAUCCGGUAAACACUGGAGGGUCUAAAUUAAUACAAUCAUGAACUCUCGUACUAACUGGUUUAUCAGUAGCACCUGUAUUCUGCCUCUGAGACUGAGCAGCUACCAAGCUAGUCAAAAACUGCAAAGCACUCCACAUAUCCUGGUCUAUGGUGCUAGAUGAAGGAAUUAAAGGUGUUGGGCGCCUCAUAAUAUCCUCUGGAGGAGCGGAGUAGAUGAGGUAUGAGACGGCAUCUCACUUUGAGCCUCACUUUGGUCUGCUCUUGCUUGGGGCACCUGAUUGGUACCCUCUCCGACAGCUAUAUCAAGCCUUAUACUAAUUGUUUAAUUCCUACUCGAAGACAUCACUGAAAGAAUACAAGGUGAAUAUUAGAGACAAACACGUACGACUCAACUCCACGCACGAUCUAGAUUCUGGAAUAAGGUAACAACCCUAGAUUGCCAUGUAGCCUCCUGAUUAUAAAUGUGGCACGCUAAAAAUCCAUAAUCAAGACUCUACUAGACACGGCCCAUAGACAAUCCCUAGGAUAGACUUGCUGUAAUACCAAGUUCGUCACGAUCCAAACUGGAGGGCCAUGACUAGCACCCGACCAUACUUGCCUACUACCAACGUACAUUUUGUCUAACUUUUUUUAUUAUCUUUUAAGGUUGACGGGAUCAAUAUAAAUGGUAGACAUGGAUCAUGGACAACCAACAAUAAAAUAUGAUGGCAUGAACAUAUAUAACAUAGGAUAACUAGACAAUCAAGAAACUACAUAUAUAAGGUACGAGCUACCACGCUACCAUGAAAGACUAUACAACAAAAACCAGCCGACAAGUCAUACCAAACUAUACAUGAGUCGACACCUAUGUAUGAGGCUCUAAUGGAACAUAAGUGUUGUAACAUAGCCAGAACAGGGCCCAGACAUACACAUAAUGUCAAUAGCAAAAUGCAUACCAAGAUCAUUGUCGACGCCCCCUUUUCCUAAAACUCAAAGAUCGGAGAAAUCGGUUUUACGACAUUAUGGACAAAACAACUCUUAA
rnacentral:lncRNA from 1 species